GGUUGCACCAAAUCCAAUUAGAUCCUACCCACUUACCCUCGUUGAUUCGGGUUUCCACCCUACAAAUCCAAGCCUCGUCGUCGCCGGCCUUUCCUCUUGUAACCAUCUAUGACCUAAAAAGGAGGACGAGGACGACGAUGACGAAGCGGCGUCAAACUCUAAUUCCCAGACCGAAACGGUGAUUUGAGUUCCAGGGAAAUGAUUGAUCGAGAUAACAAGGGGUGGUUUUGCUAAUCCGAUAGGAAAGCUUGGGGUUUUCGUUUUUACAGCAGAGCAAAUGAUUCCUCUUGGUUAGGCGCGUGAGGUGGGAAAAUUCAUAGGUUUUCACCAGAGAGAAAUCUAAAAGGUCGCGCAUAUUAUGGAUCAUCUGGCAAUAGUAGCACAGGACUUAGUAGGCGAUGCUUCAGAUUUUGAAGUGGAUGGUGUCCAGUGUGACAAUCUCAAUGAGAAUGAUGUUAGCGAUGAAGAGAUUGAAGCAGAAGAGUUGGCAAGAAGAAUGUGGAAAGAUAAAAUUAAACUAAAGAGAAUUAAGGAACGGGAAAAGCUGUUUGCUCAGCGGACAACUUCUGGGGAGUCUAAGCCAAAGCAUAUAUCUAACCAGGCUCUGAGAAAGAAAAUGGCGAGAGCGCAAGAUGGCAUUCUCAAGUACAUGUUGAAGUUGAUGGAAGUGUGUAAUGUCCGUGGAUUUGUCUAUGGAAUCAUUCCUGAGAAGGGUAAGCCUGUAAGUGGUGCUUCAGACAACAUAAGAGCAUGGUGGAAGGAAAAGGUGAAGUUUGAUAAGAAUGGGCCUGCUGCCAUAGCCAAAUAUCAGGCUGAAAACUUUGCAGCCGCACAGAAAUUUGGGGGCAAAAAUCAUCAAAGUCUGAUGGAUCUACAAGAUGCCACACUGGGAUCUCUUCUAUCCUCAUUGAUGCAACAUUGUGAUCCUCCGCAACGCAAAUACCCCUUGGAGAAGGGUGUUCCGCCGCCUUGGUGGCCCUCUGGCAAUGAAGACUGGUGGGUAGGUUUGGGCUUAUCUGAGGGUCAAGCCCCCCCAUACAAAAAGCCACAUGAUCUGAAGAAAAUAUGGAAGGCUGGGGUACUAACAGGUGUGAUAAAACACAUGUCUCCUAAUAUUGGAAAGAUCAAAACACAUGUGAGGAAGUCAAAAUGCUUGCAGGAUAAGAUGAGUGCCAAAGAGAGCACCAUCUGGUUAGGAGUUCUGGAUAAAGAAGAAUUGUUGGUCAAUCAGCUCAGCAGUGAUAACGGUUUGUCAGAUGUAACUCAAAAUAGUGGCCCUGGAGAUCGGAGGGAGGUGACAAACAGUUUUAGUGAUGAAUUCGAUGUUGAUAAUCUGGAAGAUGUUCAUGGAUUUACUUCAUCCAAAGAUGAUGGAAUUGACAAUGUAACACAUAUUUCGAGGGAAGUUAGUCCAACUGAAAUGCCUCAUCAACUUCAUCAAGGCAAGGAGCAAGUUAUUGAACGGCCAAAGAGAAAAAGACAAAGCAAAGCUGUUGCAGCUGCUGACAAGAAAAUGCUUGUAACUUUGAAUGAGCAAAGAUCUGGUGAUAUGGGAAAUCACAUUCCAAACACGAAUAGCACAAACAUGAUGCCAGUGGCUCAUCAUGCACAAAAUAUGCAACUGGAGGCUUGUGUCGAUACAAGUUCAAUGCAUCAAGAGGAAGUUCCCCAAAGCCGAUAUCUUAUUGCAGAGCCUGGGAUUUGCAAUUUUAUGUGCAACCCUCCACGUAAUAUUUGUGCAGAAAACAUGUACAUUGGUGGGCAGCCACUCCUGUACCCUGAUGUUGGCAAUAAUGUAUCGCGCAAUGCUAUUUCAAUUGAUAUUGGGCCCAACUGUGAGCAGCAGAAACUAAUGUCUGUUAAUAGUCAAGGAAUGAGGACUGAUAGAAACAUUAAUCCUGUUGAGAAUUAUUCUUAUGAGCAUGUGACGGCACCAAAUCUCAAUCAGCAUAUGAUCAACGGAGGCAGACCUCUAUUCCUAGAUGAACAGUUGUGCAUAAGACCAGAUGCUUUUGCUUCACCAUUAGAUUUUAGUGGGCUCAAUAGUCUAAGCCUGAUCGAUUUUGGAGACAUAUUGCAGGAUGCAGAUUUGUGGAAAGACGAUGAACUAUUGCCGUAUUUGGGAACAUAAGGUAAGCUUGCAACAUCUCUUCGCAGUUCUGGGCCUAUCCAUCUUGUGUGCCUAGGAAGAAUAAUGUGCACUAGCUGACUAUAAAUAUGGCAUUCUAUCUUGGUACAAGGUUCAGAUUCAGUUAUAACAGCCUGGGAAACAGCAACACAACCAGGCUGGAUUUGUCACCUUUCUCAACCUUUGGCAUAGACCAGGUAGUUCUCAAGAGAAAAUAACGUAGCUGUUAAAGCAGGUGUUUUUCAUGUAGCUGAACAAUGUACAGAUCAUAUUGAUCGCCUGCAUGACCAUCUCAAUCAAUCAUGGCCACAUUGGCAUGCCAAUUUACUGAAAUGUAUUGAAAGAACUAUUCAGGGACAUAAGAGAUUGAUUGAAGUCAGUGCUGAAUCAAGUCUUGACCUAGAAUAUCUUGCUAGAGAAGUGAUAAUAAAUGAAGCAUAGGUCUAAGCUGAUGGUAUUUAGCCGGCGAUAAUUCGCGCAUUGUUGGUUUCAGAUGCUUGUUAGUAUAGUUUCUGAUUGACUUGGUUUCCGACAAGACUUAUUUAGGUAUGUUUCCCUUCCUUUUUAGUUCAUUGUAAUCCCAAGUAUGCUGAAAAUAAUCAGAAUGUGGUUGGCCCUUUGUUUCAAUGCAUCUUCAUA